UACACCCGUUGUAAUUUAGUUAUAGUUAUCUAUAGUCCGAUGAUAUUUCGGAAUACAAUUCCUUCUUCAGAUAUUCUUAGAUGGAGUCGCUGCUAUAAUCUGUUUUCCAACGGCUUUUUUUUUUCUUUUUUCGGUAGCGUCUCAGUAGUGGUCUCACGAAGCGCCUUCCGGAAUUCCUCAUGAGAAGUGCGUGAGGUCGGCUAUGUCUCAAUCUCGUGUGUGUUGAAAAUUGGUAUUAGAUUCUUAUCGAUAUAAAGCAUAUGAAUAUUUCAUAAACUCAUUACUGUAUGUAAAAUUUUUUUUAAAUUAAAAAGAAAUUUUAAUGUUGAUACUGUAAAUAGAUAAUCUCAUUUUUGUAGGAGAUAACAGAUGAGGCUGAUGUAGCGUGAGAAUGGAGAUAGAAGUCAUUUAUGUGGUAGCAGAGCUAUGAAACUCCAUUGAGGCUGGCCUCCCACUUGUAGAAGGCUGACGUGGUUGAAGAGGAGCUGAGAUCGUUGCCGCUGAGUCAUCAAAUAUUGUCAGCAAGCUUAACAACUGCAACAUCGCUGCUAAAAGAGCUGUCGAGUUUCAGUUGUAUAUCCUCCUGGUGAUUCUUUUGAAAUAAGAUCAAAGACAAUGUGAGUAUUACAGAAUAUUGGUUUCUUUUGACAAGUCAAAAGUACAAAAUAACGCAGUCAAAGAAUUCCUUUGUAAAAGAAAGCAUGAAUUUCUUGGGCCAACGUCGCCUCCGUGGCACGUGAAAAGACAUUCGUGCGAGAUCGUUGCCAGUGCCACUGGACUGGCUCCUGUGCAGGUGGCAUGUAAAAAGUACCAUCCAAACGAGAUCGAUGCCAAGACUGCCUGACUAGCUCUUGUGCUGGUGGCACAUAAAAAGCACCCACUACACUCUCGGAGUGGUUGGCGUUAGGAAGGGCAUUCAGCUGUAGAAAUUCUGCCAGAUCAGAUUGGAACUUGGUGUCGCCUCCUGGUCCACCAGUCCUCAGUCAAAUCGUCCAACCCAUGCUAGCAUGGAAAGCGGACGUUAAACGAUGAUGAUGAUAAUGAUGAUCAUUCUCAGUAUCUCUGUAGUUACCAACAAGAACACUCUCUGCUAUGUCUCCUAUUAAUACUCGACAUCCAGGGUCCCCCUCUACGUCUUCUCGCCAGAUUCUGAUGUCGUCUUCAUUUAUAUCUCUCUCGCUUACAACUUGAAGUAUUAAAAUGAAGAUUUCGUGCCUCAAAUUCUUUAAAAUCACCUUGAUAAGAAAUAUCUUUAUUCCUAAUAUCUUUAUUCUAAGAGUGGUGAUCCCUUCAAUUGUAGGUGUGAUGUUAUGCCAUGAGGCCCACAUCUGCAUUUGCAAAAAUGUUUAUUUAGCAUGAGGUGUGCAGGGUUUUAUUUUUAACAACUUAGCUAUUUUUGAGUAAUAACCAUCAAUACAAUUCAGUUUUACCCCAUUUUCCCAGUAGAGAGUUAAAAUUUCAUUGUUAAUUAAGUCAGUUGAUAUCUUUUACGUGAUUCGAUUCCCUAGGAUGGUGUACUACGCGCUUCACUAUGCAUAAUUUUAUUACCAUUUCUAUGGCGAUUAUUAAAUACCCAUCACUAACCACGGAAUUGUCGAUACCCAUAUGUUUAACAUGUUUGGGUGCAGUACUUUGAAUUUCUGCAUCAUAAACAUUGUUACCACAGAAUCGUCGAAGACGCGGUGACGAAGUGAAAAAAAUCAUUUUAUCUCUGCCUUUGCAACGGUUCGUAUCUUUCGUAACUUUCAAACGCUUCUUUUCACUAGUAGAAGAUUGAGAAUUUGCAUCAAAAUUGUAUUUUCAAGAAAAUGCAGUGAAUCUAUCAACACUUCUUUUAAACACCAAUCUUUUCACAAACUGUUUCAAUCGAAGCACGAUUCUCUAAUUUCCUAAUAACAUCGACUUUUUUGUUCACUGAUAAGAUCACGCAUGCUUAAUCUUUUUUUUUUUUAAAUUUUCAUUGAUGUCAUGAUGCAAAACACGAGGACCAAAUGAGCCUUAUCACUGAAAUAUUAACGAAAAUUACAGGGCAACUUAACACUGUUUAUUUUUCGAUACAUGGUCAGUUGGGGACACAUUCUAUCGAGGGAGCUCUAAAAUGGAUUCAAUGUAACCAACUACAACCUAGAAGAAAAUGUUUCACCAUGGAACUAGUUUAAUGACUAACACUAAGAAAAGAAUAAAACUAUGUAUGUGUGUGUGUGUGUAAAUGUUUUGUAAAAAAAAAUACUUGCUACAGUGACAAUAAUUAAAGAAAGAUUUAAUUUGCAACUACGCGGCACAGCCAUGGGGACGAAAGUCACAUCGCCAUUUGCAACAUCAGUUAUGGAAUGUCUGGACGAAAAAUCUAGAUUUACUUUUGAUUAACAUUUCCAAUGCUAUUUAAUUGGGAAAUGGAAAAGUUUCUUAGAUGACUGCUUCAUAUUUUGGAAUUAAAAAAGUAAGGUGGGGCGUGGCUUGCAAGAUUCCUUAAAUUCAUAAACAGUAUUCAUGAAUCGAUUCAGUACACUAAGGAAAUGAAUGAAAAGGAACUCCCCUUUCUGGACAUUCUAAUAAUUAAGGAAAAUGAUAAAGUUACAACGAUCUCUGCUGCAAGAACACAGACACAACCAUAAUUAGAUUUUAGAUUUUGUCACCCUUCCCACACGAAAAGGAAUAUACAAUUCAGUGUUGCAAGACGUAUAUGUUCAAUAUUUACAGACACAAAAAGGCGAGAGAAACGAUUGGUAAAGCGAAACACGUUCCUUAAAAAACAAAAAUAUCUUAAUAGCCUAAUACAUAAUGUUAUGACCAGAGUGAAAGUAAUCUCAAAACCAGCCAACCAGAGAAACAUUCACACAGAGGUCGGAAACAAAAAUACAAAUAUUCCAUUUGUAGUCGUCCAUAAUCCUUGGGAACACAACAUUCUACAUUCGGCCAAAAGAUAUCUCCCAAUUCAACAUCAGCCAUCGAAUUUCCGACAAAUAGUUUUAAAAAAUCCCAGGUCAUCAACAGCUGCAGACAACCACCAAAUUCACAACGGGAAAGAACUAAUGAGGGUAACAAUCUGUUGAGACCCUCGAUGAGAAGCAUGUGAAAUAAUUGAACAAGGAACAACCAAAAGAUUCAAGAAAGGGAAGGAAUUAAUUGAAAGUGAAUGCAAACAUGAUUUGCGAAACAAGAGAUCUCAUCUACUGCAUCACAUGCCCACAAUGCAAUGAGAAAUACAUUGGAGAAACAAGAACAAAACUGACUAGCCGUGUGAACGUGCACCAACAGCAAGUUAAAGAGUCAUCUUUAGAAAUAUUAAAAAUCAAUAGCCGGAUGUAAAGAAAAUACGUGUGCGGCUCUAUCAAAUCAGCAAUGUAAAAUUGUAGAUUUGAUGUGUGUAUAAAUGGAUUGACUUCUGGGAUUGACCACGUGAUGUAAAUUGAUGCAGACACCUCAGAUGAGACCCCGGUGAGGGUCGAAAAUCGAUUUAAGCUAUUCGUCAUUUUUUCAGUCGAUGGAGAUCACUCAACAAAUAUGAAUACUGGAAUUAGCACAAUUUGGCUGACAAUGGAUUAGACUUAUAGUUCGAAGAAUUGUUUUAUUCGUAUGUCUAUAGAAAGUAGUGUUGCAAUCAUUUGACAGCAGCCAUGCUGGAGCACCACCUUCAGUCGAAGAAAUCAGCCCACGGACUUAUUCUUAGUAAGCCUAGUACCUAUUCUAUCGGCCUCUUAUGCCGAACCGGUAAGUUACGGAGACGUAAAUACACCAACAUCGGUUGUCAAGC